rnacentral:rRNA from 1 species
CGAAGACAACUAGGAUGUUGGCUCAGAAGCAGCCAUACAUUCAAAGAGUGCGUAACAGCUCACUAGUCGAGAGUUCCUGCGCCGAAAAUGUCCGGGGCUGAAACACGACACCGAAGCCGUGGACUCGCAAUGCGAGUGGUAGAGGAGCAUUCUUAAAACCGACGAAGCUGUACCGGAAGGAGCAGUGGAGGGAUAAGAAGAGAGAAUGCCGGAAUGAGUAGCGAGAGAAAGGUGGGAAUCCUUUCGGCCGAAUAUCUAAGGUUUCCAGAGUAAAGCUGAUCUGCUCUGGGUAAGUCGGGGCCUAAGCACAGGUCGCAAGACGUAAGCGAUGGAUAACAGGUUUAGAUUCCUGUACCACGCAUUAUCAGAACUGUAGGGACGCAUGUGGAAAGCACGAGCCGGGAAUGGAAAAACCGGUACAAGCGGGGGAGGUGUACAAUAGGCAAAUCCGUUGUAUAAUCCGAAGACGUGAUGUGGAGCGAAAUAAAGUAGCAAAGCGUGUGAGCCAUGUGCCGAGAAAAGCUGCUAUUGUGUAAUGCGUGCCCGUACCGUAAACCGACACAGGUGGAUGAGGAGAGAAUCCUAAGGCCGGCGGAAGAAGCAUUGUUAAGGAAUUCGGCAAAAUGACCCCGUAACUUCGGGAGAAGGGGUGCCUGCGAGAGCAGGCCGCAGAGAAUAGGCUCAAGCAACUGUUUAGCAAAAACACAGGUCUAUGCAAAACCGAAAGGUGAGGUAUAUGGGCUGACGCCUGCCCGGUGCUGGAAGGUUAAGAGGAGAGGUUAGCGCAAGCGAAGCUUUGAAUUUAAGCCCCAGUAAACGGCGGCCGUAACUAUAACGGUCCUAAGGUAGCGAAAUUCCUUGUCGGGUAAGUUCCGACCCGCACGAAAGGCGUAAUGAUUUGGGCACUGUCUCGACAACACACCCGGUGAAAUUGAAAUACCAGUGAAGAUGCUGGUUACCUGCGCCAGGACGGAAAGACCCCAUGGAGCUUUACUCCAGUUUGAUACUGGGAUUCGGUACUGCAUGUACAGGAUAGGUGGGAGACGAAGAAGGAUGGACGCCAGUCUGUCCGGAGUCGCUGUUGGGAUACCACCCCUGUAGUACUGGGUUUCUAACCAGUUGCCAUGAACUGGCAAUGGGACAAUGUCAGGCGGGGAGUUUGACUGGGGCGGUCGCCUCCGAAAGGGUAUCGGAGGCGCUCAAAGGUUCCCUCAGAAUGGUUGGAAACCAUUCGAAGAGUGCAAAGGCAGAAGGGAGCUUGACUGCGACACCGACGGGUGGAGCAGGUACGAAAGUAGGACUUAGUGAUCCGGUGGUAUAAAGUGGGAUUGCCAUCGCUCAACGGAUAAAAGCUACCCUGGGGAUAACAGGCUUAUCACUCCCAAGAGUUCACAUCGACGGAGUGGUUUGGCACCUCGAUGUCGGCUCAUCGCAUCCUGGGGCUGUAGUAGGUCCCAAGGGUUGGGCUGUUCGCCCAUUAAAGCGGUACGCGAGCUGGGUUCAGAACGUCGUGAGACAGUUCGGUCCCUAUCCGGCGCGGGCGGAGGAUAUUUGAGAGGAGCUGUCCUUAGUACGAGAGGACCGGGAUGGACGGACCACUGGUGUAUCUGUUGUCGACCAACGGCAUGGCAGAGUAGCCAAGUCUGGAAGGGAUAAACGCUGAAGGCAUCUAAGCGUGAAGCCCCCCUCAAGAUGAGAUAUCCCUCCUUCGGGAGUAAGACCCCUUGAAGACUACAAGGUAGAUAGGGCAGAGGUGGAAGCAUGGCAACAUGUGGAGCUGACUGUUACUAAUAGGUCGAGGGCUUAAUCU